GUGAAAUUAGUUAAUACGGGGCGUAAAGCCACCCAGGUGAGGAUGGGGAAGGUGAGCUCCUGCUGCCGCUUUGAGGCUUGUCUGCCAUGGCAGAGGAGGAGGUGCCUGGGGACAAGGACGCCGUGAGGGUGAGAUGCUCUCGGUGGAUGGUGAUGGGCUCCCCGCGCCACGGGGGGCCGCUGCGCCCCCGGACACCCAGCCUGGCCUGCCUGCGACAGGGUGACAUGAGAGGGGCAACGGGGUCGUCAGAGGGAUGGGAGAGCCCAGGGGAGACAGGAAGAGCUUGGCUGGGCUGGCUUAGCAAAGCGGGAGCGGGAGGGGAACACGGAGCAUGCCCCCUCCUGACCCCAUGCUCAGGUCUGCAGCAAAUUGUCCAAAAUCGAUUGCUAGAUCUAUUCUUCAGCUGAGACCGGGGAAGAAAGGCAUCUGGCUUUUUUUCUUUUUUUUUUUUUUUUUUUUCCUUCCCCCUUUAGCCCUCAGCUUAAUUUCUCUCACAAAAGAGGACGCAGCCAGGGGAGGCAGGGCCUGGCCCAGCAGCCCUCUGCGGGAAAAGGGGUGUGUUUUGUGCUGUCCGCCGGUUUAUUUGUAUUUUUAGAGCACGCCACAGGCACGAGGUCACCGAAGUGAGUGAAAUUCCACCCCGGAGUGGCUCCCCGUCCCCAUCCCACUCCUGAGGCACGGGCUGGAAUCAACAGCUGAGCCGGGGCUCAAGUGUCCCGCCGGCCAUAGCCGUGGUGCCCGGCUGAGGCGAGGGGCAGCUGGGUGGGUGGGUGGAUGCCGGGGAUGCGGGUGGAAGAGCUGGGGACCAGCAAAGUGGUGGGCAGAGGGCAGCCCUCCUGCUGUUCUCACAGCGAGGAGAGCCCCCUGGGAGUGAGGGUCUGGCUGUGCCGUGCUGGAGACCCCGUCUCCGGGUGGCCGAGGGCUCUCCGUGGCAAGUUAUCUCAGCAGGGGUUUGGUAGGACCAUGGGUGCCUUGCCCGGCGGGAGCUGGGGGCGUGGGGAUGCCGAGACGAGACCGGGACAAACUGGGGAGGGGUGGGGAGCUCAAACACGUCGAGGAGAAGGCCAGGGGGUACCAUGUUUGCUCGAUGGAGCGAUGAGUUGACAACAUGCAACAAGUGACGCAUCCCGCUAGGGCUUGGGCUCGACGGCGAGUGAGUCAGGCGGGCGGGAGUCCCGUCUCUUGAAUCACCGCUGGCAGCGCCCCCGAACGCAGCCCCGGCGCACCCCCACCCCCCCACCCCCCGCCCCCUUUCAUUUGGAAGGGGUGAUGGAGUCACAGCCCCCGUGGGGUGGCUGCAGGGGAAAAAUCGUCACCAUAUGAGCUAAACCUGAAAAAGAGAGAGAAACUGUCCCCCGGGAUGCUGAUCCCACCGGAAAGCAUAGCAAGAGAUGCUCCCAGAAAGAGGAGAAAGUGUUGGGUUCUCGCUUUAAGGCAACCGAUUUGCGUGGCAAUUAGGACAAGACCUGCUGAGAGUUGUUGAGCUGGUCCUCCUGAGGUGUGAAACAUCUUCCUCCGCUUUUUCAGACGAUCUUCUAGGAGAUGCUUUUCCCUGCUUGAGCUACCCAAUUGCUUGGCAUCACCCGGUUCGGGUGGCCACCAGCAGUGAUCGCACGUGCCAGGGGGCCAGUUAUUUUCAUCCAGAGACACAUACGCUGAUGGGAGUCAGCAGGAUCAACAGUCAAACCACGGCGUGAACCUCAAAGGUAGUGAGGAGGAGCCCUGUGGGAGGGAGCCGAACGCCAGGAGAAGGGGAUGCAAAACCCUGUUACUGCUAGAACCACGGCACAGCCUUUGGCUGCCAGGGGAUGCUGCGUGGCACUUUUUGUGGGCACUUUGCAUCAGGGAAACCCUGUUAUGGACGGCCUGCCGUUUCAUUAGCCUGCCCUUUGAUCUCAGACGUGGGGACUCUUCUGAGACGUCUUUCCCCGGUGUGGUGGCACAGGAUGAUGAUUUGGGGAGAGGGUGGCCUGGCUCUGCUGGGCAGGAGAAUGGGUAAGGGAUGCCCCGUGGGCCUGCUGAGCCUCCUCUGCCGGUCCAUGCUGAGAGCAAGGGCUCCCCUCCACCCAGUGCCCACACCUUGCCUCAGAUUCACUACAGUUUUGGGGCAAUUCCUUCCCUCUAACGCACGACCCAGGGCAUGCCUGCACCUCCCGGGUGCCAUACUGCCACUCCAUGGCCUCCCCUCCGUUUGUUUUUUUCCCAGACCUUCUUCUCAGAGACUCAUCCUUUUCUUUUUUUUUUUUUUUUGUUUUGUUUUUCCAAAGCAGGCUGUUUCCCCUAAUAGCCAGCACCCAGCCGCCAGCAGCUGAAGGCUCGCUUGCUUUUCCUUUAGCACAAAACUUUCCACUUGUGCUUUUCGUCUUUCCAGCCGAGGGAAGCGCCUGCUUUCCCCAGCCUACAGAAGCAUGCGGGAAACGUCUGCCCUCCUGCGUUCAAAGUCCCCUCCAAAGAGAAGCCAAGGGUGCACUGACCUCACGGAGUAAAUAUUUUCCAUGACAUCUCGUUCUGACAUCUCCUUUCGGGCUCUGUACCUAGAGCUGACCUGGCUCCGGGUUUGAAGACGGCCAGCCUGAGCUCCGCUGGUCUGGGGAAUGGGGGACGGAUUAUGCCCUCUCUUUGCUUCCCUACAUGUCCCCAUGCAACGUCACUGCAAAUUAACAGCCCGAAGGUUUCAACGACCCCCUCUGCACCCCCCCGGCAAGGACUCUGCUGGCAAACGAGGUGGCUCACAGGCCAGCGAUGCUCCCUGUAGGCGCCGAAUCCCCCCAGCUCGCUGCGAUGGUUUCUCCAACGCCUUCCCUCGCCCGCUCGCAGCUCAAACACGCUUGUGGUUAAUGGGCUGCUGCCGAGCCAGCUGUGGGAUGCUGGAGGGAGCAGCCUUAGAGCAGGCGCAAAGCAUCCACGGGCCAGAGGUGGGAUGCAGGGAGGUUGGUUUGAACUGGGAGCAACUUGUCAGCAAGGCGAAGGAGGGGACACUCACUGACUCCAUAUCCUCGCUGCUCGCCCAGCUGAAUGAGAAGGGGAGGAUGAUCCAAAAGGUAUUUUCCACCUCCAGCCUCUUAUUUCUCUUGCUGGGUUGUUCCCCUACAGACUCCUUCCCCCAACAGCGCUCUUCUCGAGGGGAUAGUCACACCUGGCGCUGAUCCUUAACGGGUCUUGGCAGCUGGAUUUACACCACAGGGUGUAAAUCCAACACAGGUAUGGCAGAGCCCAGGGCUCUUCAUGGGCCAGGUCUGUUUUAUUUGCAACCACAAAAAGUCGGUGGUUUUCCCCCACCGUUGGUUUGCUAAGAGGAGAUCACAGAAUCGUAGAAUCGUAGAAUGUGUUGGAUUGGAAGAGACCUUUAAAGGUCAUCUAGUCCAACCCCAGGAGAUGCUGUGGUCAUUCUCUUGCUGGGGUUUUUGGAACCACGUGCUAGUUCCCAGGCCCUGAGGGGGACUGGGGCAUUUCGUGCCGCUGCGUAUAGGAUUGGAUCCCUUAGGAUCGAAUCCCUACCACCCCCCUUCUUGUGGAACAGGAAGGAGACACAAUACGCUGGCCAGAAAUAAUGCCAAGCAUGUGGCACGCGCCAAGAGGUGUCGAAAAAGGCUCACGUUGGCCACGUAGGGACAAUGACCCAAGGGAUUUGCUGUGGGCGUUUCAGAGCCCGUUAUUUCUAGGGCCAGGUCUCACCUACAGCAAAAGUGCCUCUGCCGGCGAGGCAAGGAACACAGCUACACUCUUCCUCCUGGUAGCUCCUCCCCGGUUUGUACGAGGUACCAGCGUUUCCCAGUUCUGCAUGGGAGAAGGGCUGUUCUUACCUAUGGGGUUAUUAGUACUAGAGAGAAAACGAAUAUUAAACAUCUUUUAACUUGGGUGUUUUUAGGAGAGUUUUGGUGUUUUUUGGCUUUUUAGCAAGCUUUUGUGUUGUGAACAGAUCUCUUUUCGGCAGCCGGGGAAGUGUUUCCCACUUGUUCCCCGGCUUGCUUGGCGGUAGCUUCACGGAGACGCUUAAGGGUGUAGUGAAGCGCCAAGCGGGACCAGCCUGUGACUUCCGGACAUUGUCCUACACCUGCUGCAGAGCAAGCGAUGGACCUCCUCCCUCCAUCCGCGGCUCUCGAAGUGCACGCGUGUGCGUGCGUGGUGCCCAGCACUUCCCCGUGCCUGCAAACCGCCCUCGCGCUGAAGCGUCAAAUGCGCAGGCGGCUUUCGCAGAGCUGGAAAAGAGGGUGAGCUCGUUUGCCCGUGCGCUGAAGAUGCACAUGUCACCGGCACGUAUUUGCCCUCCUUCUUGUCCGCUCCUCGGAGGAGACACGUAUCCUUGCUCUUGAGCUAGUGCUGCGCUCCUCCUUGCGAAUUCCAGGGUGGAUCUCUGCUCCUGGGGGGACGUGAAGGCUGUCACAGCGCAUCCCACCUGCAGGUGACAGCUCAGUGUCAGGGAAAAUGCCUCUCUGCUGGAAGUGCCUGCCUGUUGGACAUGGCAGGCUUUUUUUUUUGGCGGGGGCGGGGGCGGGGAGAAGGCAUGUUGCAACAUAUGUAGGAGGGUGACACUUAGCUGGGUGUAUAAAGCCUGGCUUUCCUGGAGGCCUGGGUCUUCCCUGGGGCUGCUGCUCUGUCUCCUCGCAUUUCUGGGGAGAGGAAGCUGCGGCUAACCUCACCGCAAACACAAAUUAGUUGGGUUUUGUUGCUUUUUGGGUUGGGUUUUGUGUUGUUUUUUUUUAUUAUUAUUAUUCUGUUGGUUUUUUUUUCUUUUUUUCCCCUUAGUUUUGUGUGUUCAGUUUGAACAAUAAAACAUCUGUUCCUGAGCCCCGCAGCUGGACCAAAAUGAAAUGACGUUAGCAUCAAUUAUCCUCCGGGAUGGGGAGGCUGAUGGGAGAAUGGUGCAGAUUUCCUUAACGCUGAAUAACAAAUGAGAACAACAGCUUGGCUAGGUGGCUUCCUAUUCCCGGAGAGCCUCCGAACGACCCGCCCGCUCGAGCCCUCGUGUGGGGGGUACCCGCUGUUGGUGCCCCCCUGGCUCUGGGUACCAAGCCUCAGCUGUGGGGUGAGUGGGGGAGAUGCUUCUGCAGCCACUGGGGAAUAAAACACAUUUUUGGUGUUUUGGCUUA